rnacentral:rRNA from 1 species
UACAGGGGGUGCAAACGUUGCUCGGAAUCAUUGGGCGUAAGGCGCACGUAGGCGGUUCGUUAUGUCGGAUGUGAAAGCCCUUGGCUUAACCGAGGAAGUGCAUCCGAAACUGGCGAGCUAGAGUACGAAAGAGGAUCGCGGAAUUCCCGGUGUAGAGGUGAAAUUCGUAGAGAUCGGGAGGAACACCAGUGGCGAAGGCGGCCUUCUGGACCAGUACUGACGCUCAUGCACGAAAGCGUGGGGAGCAAACAGG